ACGGCUACCUUGUUACGACUUAACCCCAAUCAUUGAGCCUACCUUCGGCUGCAUCCUCCUUGCGGUUAGAUUACAGACUUCGGGUAUUCCCAACUCUCAUGGUUUGACGGGCGGUGUGUACAAGGCCCGGGAACGUAUUCACCGCGACAUGCUGAUUCGCGAUUACUAGCAAUUCCGUCUUCAUGCAGGCGAGUUGCAGCCUGCAAUCUGAACUGAGACGGCUUUUUGGGAUUUGCUCUGAGUCACCUCUUUGCUCCCCUCUGUUCGCCGCCAUUGUAGUACGUGUGUAGCCCAGGUCAUAAAGGGCAUGAUGAUUUGACGUCAUCCCCACCUUCCUCCGUUUUGUCAACGGCAGUCUUGCUAGAGUGCUCUUGCGUAGCAACUAACAAUAAGGGUUGCGCUCGUUGCGGGACUUAACCCAACAUCUCACGACACGAGCUGACGACAACCAUGCACCACCUGUCUCGACUCUCCCCGAAGGGCACCUAAUGUAUCUCUACUUCGUUAGUCGGAUGUCAAGACCUGGUAAGGUUUUUCGCGUUGCGU
rnacentral:rRNA from 1 species